rnacentral:rRNA from 1 species
AUUGAACGCUGGCGGCAGGCCUAACGCAUGCAAGUCGAGCGGAUGACGGGAGCUUGCUCCUUGAUUCAGCGGCGGACGGGUGAGUAAUGCCUAGGAAUCUGCCUGGUAGUGGGGGACAACGUUUCGAAAGGAACGCUAAUACCGCAUACGUCCUACGGGAGAAAGCAGGGGACCUUCGGGCCUUGCGCUAUCAGAUGAGCCUAGGUCGGAUUAGCUUGUUGGUGAGGUAAUGGCUCACCAAGGCGACGAUCCGUAACUGGUCUGAGAGGAUGAUCAGUCACACUGGAACUGAGACACGGUCCAGACUCCUACGGGAGGCAGCAGUGGGGAAUAUUGGACAAUGGGCGAAAGCCUGAUCCAGCCAUGCCGCGUGUGUGAAGAAGGUCUUCGGAUUGUAAAGCACUUUAAGUUGGGAGGAAGGGUUGUAGAUUAAUACUCUGCAAUUUUGACGUUACCGACAGAAUAAGCACCGGCUAACUCUGUGCCAGCCGCCGCUAUAA